UGGGGAAUUUUGGACAAUGGGCGAAAGCCUGAUCCAGCAAUGCCGCGUGUGUGAAGAAGGCCUUCGGGUUGUAAAGCACUUUUGUCCGGAAAGAAAUCCUUGGCUCUAAUACAGUCGGGGGAUGACGGUACCGGAAGAAUAAGCACCGGCUAACUACGUGCCAGCAGCCGCGGUAAUACGUAGGGUGCAAGCGUUAAUCGGAAUUACUGGGCGUAAAGCGUGCGCAGGCGGUUUGCUAAGACCGAUGUGAAACCCCCGGGCUCAACCUGGGAACUGCAUUGGUGACUGGCAGGCUAGAGUAUGGCAGAGGGGGGUAGAAUUCCACGUGUGGCAGUGAAAUGCGUAGAGAUGUGGAGGAAUACCGAUGGCGAAGGCAGCCCCCUGGGCCAAUACUGACGCUCAUGCACGAAAGCGUGGGGAGCAAACAGGAUUAGAUACCCUGGUAGUCCACGCCCUAAACGAUGUCAACUAGUUGUUGGGGAUUCAUUUCCUUAGUAACGUAGCUAACGCGUGAAGUUGACCGCCUGGGGAGUACGGUCGCAAGAUUAAAACUCAAAUGAAUUGAC
rnacentral:rRNA from 1 species